AUGGUGUCAAUGCAAUUAAGUCUGUUUUCAACUGUGUUUCUGAUCACACUAACAGAGUGUAAAGGACAAGACAAAGUGAUCCAGCCACCAGGAGAUGUCAUUGCUACUGAAGGACAGACAGUUACACUUAAUUGUACAUUUAAGACAACUGACUCAAGUCCAUAUUUGUUCUGGUACAAACAAGAAGUAAAUGGUUUCCCAAAGUAUGUUUUGCGACGUGAUACUAUUGGGGAAGGAGAUAAUGCUGCAGAGUUCCCCAAAGACAGAUUUGAUGCUACACUCAACAAACCAUCAGUUCCUCUGAAGAUCCAGAAGCUGCAGCUGUCUGACUCUGCUGUGUACUACUGUGCUCUGCAGUCCACAAAUAGUGCAGCCAGACAGGUUUGGUUUAGUGUAUCUGGUUUUAGCAUCAGUCAGUUAUUGGGGAUCUGGUUGUAA